rnacentral:rRNA from 1 species
CGGCAACGGAUAUCUCGGCUCUCGCAUCGAUGAAGAAUGUAGCGAAAUGCGAUACUUGGUGUGAAUUGCAGAAUCCCGUGAACCAUCGAGUCUUUGAACGCAAGUUGCGCCCGAAGCCAUCAGGCCGAGGGCACGCCUGCCUGGGCGUCACACGCCGUUGCCCCC